rnacentral:rRNA from 1 species
GCGCGAAGACUUCACACUGCAGGAAACUGUGAUGAGGGAACUCCAAGUGCUAUCACUAUGUGGUAGCUUUUCUUAACUAUUAAUCGGUUUUGGAAUAAGGGCUGGGAAAGACCGGUGCCAGCCGCCGCGGUAAUACCGGCAGCUCAAGUGGUCGUCGCUUUUAUUGGGCCUAAAACGUCCGUAGCCUGUUUGGUAAAUCUGUGGGUAAAUCAACCAGCUUAACUGGUUGAAUUCUGCAGAGACUGCCAGACUAGGGACCGGGAGAGGUGUGGGGUACUCUAGGGGUAGGAGUAAAAAUCCUGUCAUCCUUAGAGGACCACCAGUUGCGAAGGCGCCACACUGGAACGGAUCCGACGGUCAGGGACGAAGCCUA